CGUUCCUGCAAUGCCCGCCACAUCCUUGGAGCCUCUAGCAGCGAAGGCGAGGAAUUCGGGUGCUCGACCCGGCAGCUGACGGUAGAAAUGGAUGAAAUCGCCGCUCACUUUUUGGGGAUGUGAGCAGAAAAUGCCAUGCAAGGGGAGAUGGGAGAGGACGACAGAGCAGAGCGCACUUUGAUAUGUUUGAAUCCUCAAGUAUGGAGACGUAAUUCUCUGAGAGUAUUUGAUUGAAGACGGAAGAAAAUUUGAGAUCAUCUGGGUGGACAGAGGACAAGUAAGAACAGAAAAGGAAGAGAAGAGCAAGAGAUGAAUCUUGAGCAUGGGCCGAUCUCACACAGCCCGCUGACCCGGACGUCCCAGGUCGCGAACGCCACGCACCGAGCAGCAGCGCGGCCAGCGCCGGCAGCCCCGCGGCCCGAGCCCGCCGCAUGGC